CUGACAAGGUAAAAAUCUGUUGUUCUGCCCCUGAACAAGGCAGCACUGUUCCUAGGCUGUCAUUGAAAAAAAAAACAUUCUUAACUGACUUGCCUAAUUAAAUAAAAGUAAAAAAAAAAAACAAUGAUGGUACAGAAUUACAGUAAAAUACUUUUUCUUUCUUUACGCCAAGCACACAAGGCUACGAAACACAAGUGAUGGGGAAGAUAAAUUGUAACCUUAGAGUGUGUGUUUACCUUUUUUGAGUGUAUGACGUGUGUGCAGGUACUGGCAGCUGAGGACCAGCGUGAACAGGAAGAUGGAGAGCAGUCCCAAGGAGCAGAGGAGCACUGCACACAGGACGAAGAUGGGCUGAGUAAAGACAUAUGAGAAAACUCUACCUCCAAAUAGACGCCACACUCCCUCAUCGCUCCUGUCCAGUGGGAUGUAUACUGACAUAAAAAGACAACAUUGGAUACACAGACAGACUCCCUCAGUGGUUCACAGAAAUACACUGAAAUACACCCAGGCCCAGACCGCCAUCAGACUGAGGCAGAGAGUGAUGACUGCAGGGUAUUCCAAACCCACACAACCCCACAAACAGGGCUGGCUGGAGAGGAGGGGGUUCCCCCAUCUACAAAUCUACUGAGUUGUGCGGGUGUGCACAGUAUGAAUGUGUGUGGAUAUGAGUGUGCCAGAUAAGGCUUUCAGUAUGUGCCAAGGGCAUUUAGGAGAACAGAGGAGAGGAGUGAGAUUGAGGAGAGAUGGAGGAUAGACAAAGGAGAGGAGAGAUGAGAGGUGUUCUACAUACUUAGCCUCUGAACCUGUAAAUGAGAUUUUAAUAUGCCUCUUUAAAACAGGGAGUGAUACAACAUUAAUACUGACUCACUUCAGUUAACCUGAGAUGGCUUUCUUUUCUUACCACCCAUACAGCAUAUCUGCUCCAGGUACAUUGAGAUAAUGCUGUCAUGUUUACAUUUUUACCUAAAUAUUGACAUUUACAUUAUCUUAGUAAUAGUUAGUGAUAUACUGUAGAGAUAGAGCGCAUACAGCUAAUUGUAUUUGUCUGAACAGAGGCUAACCUUGCUGAUAACUGAAGUGAUACGGAGGGCUGGAGUUCCAAGAAAGAUGAGGUACAGGCUUGUUAGUGAGGGGCUCACACACACACAGACACACACACAGUACUAAAUAUUUAUGUUUGAACAUCUUGAAGAACGAUCUGGCCUUAAUGGUCAUGUACUCUUAUAAUUUCCACCCAGCAUAGCCAGAUAUUUGGACACAGCCAUGGUUUCAUCUGUUUCUACUAGUCCUUUAGCUUCUAUAUCAGACAGAUGUGCAUUGAGAAUAUAAAAGCAUUUCUGAGGCCAGAUGUUCAACCUUAUAUACUGGUUGCUGUAGUCAAAAGGCAGUUGAGCAAUUGUAUGUUUAUUUAUUUUACCUUUAUUUAACUAGGCAAGAACAAAUUCUUAUUUUCAAUUACAGCAUAGGAACGAGUGGGUUAACUGCCUGUUCAGGGGCAGAACAACAGAUUUGGACUUGCAACCUUUCGGUUACAAGUUCACCACUCUAACCACUAGGGUACCCUGCCGCCCCAAUGUAUGUAGCAGUACUUAUGAUGUCAUAUAAACAUACUGUAUGAAAGAUUAUGUUCAUGUCUAUGAACAGCACUGACUGUUCUCAUCAACGUAGUUGAAAAGAGCAGAAGUCAGCAUUUGGCUGCAGACAGUGGUCUGGGGUGAGUGUGUGGGCGAGAGUUGGCCAUAUCUCUGCUUGAUACAGCAUCUCUACUUUGACUGGUUUGGGUUAGGGUUAAGUGUGUGGGCGAGAGUUGGCUAUCUGGUAUAGCAUAUUUGUUCCGAGGUGAGUAAGUGGGCUGUCUCAGCAGGGCGUAGUCUUUGUUUUCUGACUGAAAGGGACUGAGUUGAACAGACACUUCAUGUCUCGCCUCUCGUUCUCUUCUCUCCCCCCUCUCUCUCCCCCCUCUCUCUAUCUUCCUUCAGACUGUCUUACGCGUGUUUUUGUGCAGUAAUUCAUUUCUGAGAUUUCAAAGGUUACAAAGUUGCCAAUGUAUUUACAAUUGAUAAUUAACAAGCGACAUAUAAAAAUAUGCUUUAAAUGAAAACAGAAAUGGCCGCAUUAAAAAAGAAGCAGUGGACUAUUAUAAUCAAUUUAGUUAUAUUUUGCUAUUAGUAGGCUACUGUCUGUAUUUGCCUCAAUAUAUUUUAAGAUGUGUAACCUAACAUGUGUGCAACGAUGUGCCAAAUCUGUGAUUUUGUGCAUUUUCAUAGGGUAAGCAUUAUAAUAAGGCGCCUCAAUAUUUGCAGCCGUAGGUAGUAAUAUCUCUGUAGGAGCUGAUCCGUUGUCAGUAUUGUGUAAUAAUUAUAAUGUUAAGGAAAGAUUUGAAUGGAGAAAGCUGAUCCAUGAGCAGCACUCCCUUUCUUUGAUCCUACUCUAUCAUUAUUGUUCCAUCACUAUCAGGAACCUGGCCCGGGGCAUUUUUUCAUGCCACGACCCACUCAUCCUGCUGUGUUGAGAAUCCGGGGUCGUAUUCAUUGAGCAUUAAACAGAGAAAAACAACCUUACUGAAACAGGGGGGGGUACCUAGAGUUGUCCUCCAAUAAGAAUAAUUUUCCAUUGCAAAAUAGUUUUAUUAGUCGUACAGGAUGCACAUGGUAUACACUGUCCAGCUAAAUGCUUACUUGCAGGUUCCUACUUGACAAUGCAACAGCAAUUAGAAAAAAUAAAAUAUAAGAAUAAGAACAUAAAGUAAAUGGCUCAGUAAAAUAGAAUAAACAUUUUAGCAUAAGUAUAAUACAGGAAGGCAGAAGUUAUAGUCCAAUAUCUACACAUGUUUUGCGGACGGGGGGAUUAGGGGACAAGUGUUUCAAUUAUGCAGUAUUUAGCAAUAAUAAUAAUUUUAAUGUUUGUCGUAAUGAAUAUAACCCCAGUCUAAAUGAGUUUUCCUGGCGAUCCUGGACCCAAGUACAAAAACAGGCUAGUUAGCUGAUGUCUGGUAUAAUUUAUUUGCUAAAGACAAGUGAAAGCUAAAUUAUAGAGUGAUGGAAACCCAGGAAUUCACUGUAAUUCACAAGGAAACACUGAAUGGAUGGAAGAAAUGAGCCUGUCUCUCUGUGAGUCGAGCUGACCCCAGUAUGCUUCUGUCAUGAUGUUGGCCUGGGGGGUUAGGUUUAUGAUGAUGAUUUCGAGCCAGCUGGCUCUAUGAAUGAGCAACUUCCCUCCUCCUUGCAGUCGUGCAAUACGGUAGUUGAGAUGAACUUCUCUUGCCCUUCGGACACUUCCGCAAACACUGCGGUCAUCCCAGCAAGAAAAACGUUGAUGCGCAGAGUAUACUCUGCUUCCGAUGAUACACCUUCCGCUUUGUGGGGGACUAUCAACCCUUACAAUGAGACUAAUGGCGUCAGUCCAGCAACUGACCCGAUGACUCCCACUGGUGAAACACUUUGCGAUAUCACAGACGGAUAUCCUCGUCUCAGUUCGCAGUUACUGAAGAGGUUGCCACACGCAGACGCGGUGGUGACUGACAGACCUCGACAACCACAGGGUGUUGAAGCACAAACACCAGGAAAUUUGGUUGAAAGGUUACAGCCACUCUCAUAAUAACACGGUCACUGACAACUCGUACAUAGGGUCCGAACAUUUUGUUUGCGCCUCAGAUACCAACACCACCCACUAGUGGGGGAAUCCCGAGACACAAAGGGGGGGAAUAGUAGCCCAGACCCAUGGCGAGCCUUAUCGAGGCCGGUGGGGGGGUCGAGACUAUGGACAACACCGUACGAGGCCGCCAGAGCAUAAAUCAAAUCUAGUUGUAAACUCCCCUUUGAGAACAGUGAGGAGCAGACAGGCCCCUAGACGGGGAUUAUCUUAGAACACAUCUAAGAUAGUACUGAGGUGUACCACACUGGUCAUAAAGGAAGUCCAAUGGCCUUGUCCACCUCCAAAAUAAAUGGCAACAAUAAUCAUUCCUUGCCAUGUGUAGUAGUCACUACAAGACAACUAGUAAAAUGCUCUAAUCAUGUAUUCCUUGUAGGAUAACAUUUCAGAAUAAAUUGGUAGGAAAACUGGACCCCUUGAGUACCAGUACCAAUACCACAGUCAGUCCAGCAACACUCAGUAAGAGGAUUAGUAACCUCACAAGAUAAAUAGUUUUUUAUAACAGCGACAUAGGAGUCACUCAGAGUGCAGCACGGGGAAGGGAAUCUCCAUUGCACUCUUCCAAUGGUUACACACGCCACUAAUAAAUAGAACCCUCCAUUCAGGAUUAAAGUUAUUAGAAGUCAUAAACCACGAUCACACCACGUACGACUGGUCUAAUACUUAGAGUACUUCCGUCAUGAGGUUAGCUCCUCCGUGGAUAACAUAGCUAUGAAGUAUACUUCUUCAUACCUACAAUAGUGGAAGACAGUGAGUGGUAGUAAAACCACUACAGACGACACCAAUUCUGACUGACCUUCAGGCAUUGACUUGAAAAUGACCUGACUACGUCAGACUCAUUCUGGACAAGUUGUAAUCUGUCAGGAUACUUGGUUUCCUUCCCUUGACAUGCUUGCUUUGGUAAGCAUAAACGCAGAUCCAUAACGGAACAUCCAAUUAGGAUUUAUGCUAGGAUCACUUAAGGGUCCAAGCAAAAUACCAGCCUUAGUAAAGUUGAACAUUUAUUUUGAGGCUUUUAACUCUACAGCUACAGCACUCACCAGUGUUCUUCUCAGAAGUUCAUAGGUAAUCCCUGUAGACUGUCCAAAACUAGUGCCUUACAGCUGUAGACUUAUCAUAUAGUUAUCAACUUAGGAUAGUACCCUAAGCAACACCCCACAAAUUAGGAAAGCCCUAGAUAUGACAUUAGACAAUGCCAUGAUAGGGUCAUUUUGCCAAGACAUAGACGUAGAUAGAAUACAGUCCAAUUAGAUGAUUAAGGUGGCAUAACUAUAUUUUGUUUUGUUAAUGCUUUCACAAAAAAAACUAUUCAUUUUCUUCGACACGUAGAAAGUGAUAGAGCCAUAAACAACUUCCACAUACAACCAUCAGUUAGUGCCACAACGCCGCUCAUUUGGGAGGAAAUGUGAUGAUAUAUUUCAUGAGUGUGUGUACGUUGUUAACAUCUGCCGAAGUUACUGCCCAGAUGUUCCAUUCUGGAUGAGCAGACGACGGGUCCGGAACAGCGAUCCCAAUCCGGACAUCCGCUGCUCAGCCAUGGAGCGGACUUCUUCAUUUGCAGACACCCUACCCAGGUCGACCACACCAGAGGGGGGGACUACAGCAGCAAUCACCAACUGGUCGUCUGCUGUCCAGCAAUGGAGCGGACUUCUUAAUUUGUAGACACCCUACCCGGGUCGACCACCAGAUGGGGACCACAUCGAUGGUCCACAACCAGGACAACCCACGAUCAUUUUUGUGUUGGUUUGCAACAUGCAGGUUAAUCGCAAGAUUGAACCCAACAUAGUGGGACUGUCAUGACGUUGACCUGGGGGGUAGGUUUAUGACAGUCAUAAAUACCUCUUCCCCCCUUUUUCCUUUCUACCCUACUGAGGUUACAUUUGCAAUACCCUUGGUUAACAUAGAGAUUCUGGGAACGUCAGAAUGUGGGGGGAAAUGAACUAUAUUCGGGUAAUCCGAACAAUUGAACAUAUGCGGUGGUACUUAAUAAAUAUGAUGUCAGUUCGGUUGUCAUCUGAGACAUUCUCAUCAAUGAUAAGAUGACAUAAACUCUACAGUGGAAAGUCUACACAUCAGAGUUAUCAGAUUCAAAUGGAAUUGUGGUUCAAUUUAAAUGUUUAAAUAUUAAAUUAUUUGUGAUGGGAUGAAAUAUGAUUUUAGCUUCUAAAAUGUGAGUUGUAGGUUUUCAUAAGAUAUUGCUGCUCACUCAGUGGCCCGCCCAUGUGAAGAGACAGAGGUUGUAUUCUAUGACACACACCCCUUUUCUCCCUUCCUAUAUAAAGCCUUGACGACAACAUAACUUCCUGUUCCCAGGACACGAGGGUGACGGUCCUAUGUCAGAAUGGUUCAUAACUACAGAAAAAAGCCAACAUCAGCAUGAGCUUUGGGUUGCAAAUGUUAUGAACUUUUGAACUCUUAUUCACUACAGAAGUGAAACCUCCUAGCUGUUGGAUUAGCGACCGCAGCUGCAAACGCAGGUUAGGAAGGAACAGACAGAGUAUCCCGUCUGUCACACGAUGACGUUACUACAAUGUAUCCAAUUGACAACCAGAGACAUUCUUCAAAGGACAGAGGACUUGGUUUGGCAACACGGCCUUCCAUCUACCACCAACCUACUGAAGCACAGCUCAGAGCAAUCAACGCUGUGCGUUACAGGGAAGACAUCCUCUUCCCUCAUUUGGUACCCUUCCUGCAGGCUCAUCCUGACAUCACCCUCCAGCAUGACAAUGCCACCAACCAUACUGCUCGUUCUGUGCGUGAUUUCCUGCAAGACAGGAAUGUCAGUGUUCUGCCAUGGCCAGCAAAGAGCCCGGAUCUCAAUCCCCUUGAGCACGUCUAGGACCUGUUGGAUCGGAGGGUGUGGGCUAGGGCCAUUCCACCAGAAAUGUUUGGGAACUUGCAGGUGCCUUGGUGGAAGAGUGGGGUAACAUCUCACAGCAAGAAUGGGCAAAUCUGGUGCAGUCCAUGAGGAGGAGAUGCACUGCAGUACUUAAUGCAGCUGGUCUCCACACCAGAUACUGACUGGUACUUUUGAUUUUGAUCCCCCUUUGUUCAGGGACACAUUAUUCAAUUUCUCUUAGUCACAUGUCUGUGGAACUUGUUCAGUUUAUGUCUCAUUUGUUGAAUCUUGUUAUGUUCAUACAAAUAUUUACACAUGUUAAGUUUUCUGAAAAUAAACGCAGUUGACAGUGAGAGGACUUCUUUUUCUUUUUUCGCUGAGUUAAUAUGUAAAUGCGGGCCGCACACAUAACCUAGUUUCAGCGGAAUAACAUCAUGUGUCAUGCAGCAAAAGUGUGCAGUUGCAGGUUGUUGCAUAGAGCAACUCAGAGAAAAAUAACAGUAGCCGGUGGGGUAGGUAGGAAAGACGGUGGAACUUAUCAUAUUGACCAGUAAAUACAAACUAACUAACGCAACAACGGGUACGCAAACAGGUAUUGACUUUUUUUUAAAUAGGUAGAUUAACUUUUUUACUACAGAUAGAUUGUAUCUUCCAUCAAUGUAAUUGUCUGCAUAAUUUCCAAUUCCUCAUAUAUACAGUGGGGCAAAAAAGUAUUUAGUCAGCCACCAAUUGUGCAAGUUCUCCCACUUAAAAAGAUGAGAGAGGCCUGUAAUUUUCAUCAUAGGUACACUUCAACUAUGACAGAUGAAAUUAGAAAAAAACAACAGAAAAUCACAUUGUAGGAUUUUAUAUGAAUUUAUUUGCAAAUUAUGGUGGAAAAUAAGUAUUUGGUCAAUAACAAAAGUUUAUCUCAAUACUUUGUUAUAUACCCUU